rnacentral:tRNA from 1 species
GGAGGGAUGGCCGAGUGGAUUAAGGCGGCGGCCUUGAAAGCCGUUGACCCGCUCCGCGGGUCCGUGGGUUCGAAUCCUACUCCCUCCG